rnacentral:rRNA from 1 species
CGCGUAGGCGGACUUUCAAGUCGGAUGUGAAAACUGUCGGCUCAACCGGCAGCCUGCAUUCGAUACUGUUGGUCUUGAGUACAGGAGAGGAAAGUGGAAUUCCAGGUGUAGCGGUGAAAUGCGUAGAUAUCUGGAAGAACACCAGUAGCGAAGGCGGCUUUCUGGACUGAUACUGACGCUAAAGCGCGAAGGCUUGGGGAGCAAACA